rnacentral:misc_RNA from 1 species
UGCGGCCUGAGAGACUGGCUUAUGAUGUAAUUGAAUUGCUAAGUCACGAAUGCAUUUAAGCUAUGGCUUUCUAGACACUCUUGACUAUAUGGACUUGGUAGCAUCUAUCAAUUGAGGUACAUCAUUGAAGAAAGGAAUGUUCUUCUGUUGGAGUUCUAGGCAGUUUUCUGGUGUAGCUACCCUUGGGUUGAAGGGCUCGCGGUCAGGGAGAGCCAAACCUUGCUUUAGCCUACCCAUAUACCUAGAAUGCAG